rnacentral:rRNA from 1 species
CAACGCCGCGUGGAGGAUGAAGCCCCUUGGGGUGUUAAACUCCUUUCGAUCGGGAAAGAUAAUGACGGUACCGAUAUAAGAAGCCCCGGCUAACUUCGUGC